rnacentral:rRNA from 1 species
GAUGAACGCUGGCGGCGUGCCUAAUACAUGCAAGUCGAGCGAACAGACGAGGAGCUUGCUCCUCUGACGUUAGCGGCGGACGGGUGAGUAACACGUAGAUAACCUACCUAUAAGACUGGGAUAACUUCGGGAAACCGGAGCUAAUACCGGAUAAUAUAUUGAACCGCAUGGUUCAAUAGUGAAAGACGGUUUUGCUGUCACUUAUAGAUGGAUCCGCGCCGCAUUAGCUAGUUGGUAAGGUAACGGCUUACCAAGGCGACGAUGCGUAGCCGACCUGAGAGGGUGAUCGGCCACACUGGAACUGAGACACGGUCCAGACUCCUACGGGAGGCAGCAGUAGGGAAUCUUCCGCAAUGGGUGAAAGCCUGACGGAGCAACGCCGCGUGAGUGAUGAAGGUCUUCGGAUCGUAAAACUCUGUUAUUAGGGAAGAACAAAUGUGUAAGUAACUAUGCACGUCUUGACGGUACCUAAUCAGAAAGCCACGGCUAACUACGUG